rnacentral:lncRNA from 10 species
CUGAAACAUAUUUCACAUAGUUUCUCAGAGGGAUUCCCAGUGGGGUUAAAGUUCCAAUUGUUGAUAAAUGUGCUACCCCCAUUAAUGCAUUCUUAUUUUGUUCUUCCAGGGAUCAACUCCCAAAUAAACUACCUGUACCCAAGUUCUUGUCUCAAGAUCUGCUUAAAGGAAUCCAAAUUAAGACAUCUUUCAAAUUGUGUGAAACCAAAAUUAUUUUGUUCCCUUUCAGUUAUGAUAACAUAUCUGAAGAGACCUUUCUGAGAACAUUUUUUUAGCAUAGUACAAACACAUCCUGUUUCCAAGGAACUGAUAAUACUCAAAUUUAAAUACAUACUGCACCAGCCAGGUUUUUCAUUACAAAUAACUAUUUCAUCUUUAGCAGAAAAUGAAUUUAUUCAAGAAGUACCAAGAGAUGAAAUAAUUGAUAAGAAUACUGAAGAAUUGGGCUCAGCCAAUACGAAAAUUUGUUGGAAUCAUAGUAAUUCUGGGUGCUUUUCUCCAAAAUUUGCGUGCCUUUCUUUUAUUAUCUUGCUAGUGCUGGAGUUUCCAUCAGCAAAUGAAAUGUUGUAACACAAAAUACAGCAUGUAAUGUAUCCUAUGAAUUAUUUUUAGAAUAUACAACAUACAUUCAGAAACAGCAUAUAUUAUCCACAGUUGCCGUAAAUGUAGCAACUAAAAGUAUAAAAAGAGGGCUAGAUUCAGAGUGCCAGAGACGGCUUUUGUAUUUGAUGGGCUAGAAGUCAAGGUGGGGCUGGACAAAACCAAACUUCUGGGCUCCUUUGAUGUGAAUUCAUCAAUUGUGCUCUAAGUAUGGUACAAUAGGGAACCCAGCACACACACACACACACACACACACACACACACAAAUGUGUGUCUAUGCAUAUAAUUCUUUAAAGGAGAACUUUGGUCUUCCUAAAUAAUAGUGCAGAGGAUCAGAGAUACAAAUGUCUUUUCCCUACAUUACUCCAUUUUCAUGUGAUUUCUACAAGAGAUUUUCUACUUUUUUUUUUACUUGGCUUUACCAAAUUUCUAUUGAUGUUGAAAGGAACUCCAUGGUGGCUCAGAGGAAAACAAGAAGAAAUGGCCCCUCAGAGUUGAGAGAGAUCACUGGCCUUUCUCUCCAGUCCUAUCAGGUCCUGCUAUCUAAUUUUUUAUGCUUUUGCUCAGUGUCUCUCAGGAUACUGGACUUUCCAGCUUCUCUCUCCCACAGAAUAUUUGUGUUUCAGUUUACUUUGCCUGGGCAUAGCAGUUUGCAUUUUCCCCUGGUUGAAUUUAAUUUUUUUUCCUGCCCUGACUGUAACCUUUCCAAGACCAAAAGAAAGAUUUCUCUGUUUUUGCUGGUCAAG